rnacentral:lncRNA from 1 species
CUCAGCCACGCCCCAUACCCUUCAGACGGGGAUGGGGAUGGGGGGCUCUGUUCUGUGCCCUAUCUGCUGCACAGCUGCCCCAGCUCAGAGAGCCUCCAGGGCGCUAAGUCAGAGGCUCAGCAGCAGUUCUGUUCUGCUCCAGCAGUAUCCCUGACCCUGAGAGUGGCCUUCAGAGGCUGAGAGUCACACAAAUAUCCAUCACUCGCCCAGCAAACCUUCACCCCAGGCCCCCAACUCCUCCUCUCCUACUUCCCCCAUCCCGUUGCUACACAGUUAGAGCCAGCAGGGCGCCCUCUUGUGGAACACAGCAAUUUCUGGCUGUUCUCUAGUGACCCUUCUCACUCGGAUGCUCUUCCUGGAAGCCACUGUUGGAGACAGCUCCUACCUGUGCCAUGCUCUCCAACAAAAACUGGUCCCGGGGGCUGGCGAGAUGGCUCAGCGGGUAAGAUGACUGCUCUUCCGAAGGUCCUGAGUUCAAAUCCCAGCAACCA